GACGAACGCUGGCGGCGCGCUUAACACAUGCAAGUCGAGCGAAGCGGCGGACGGGUGAGUAACACGUGAGUAACCUGCCUUAGACAUUGGGAUAGCCUCGGGAAACCGGGAUUAAUACCAAAUGGUCUAAGAUGGACUCGCGUCCCAUUAGCUAGUUGGUGGGUAACGGCCCACCAAGGCGACGAUGGGUAGCCGGCCUGCGAGGGUGAACGGCCACCUUGGAACUGAGAAACGGUUCAAACUCUACGGGAGGCAGCAGUGGGGAAUAUUGCACAAUGGAGGGAACUCUGAUGCAGCGACGCCGCGUGAACGAAGAAGGCUUUCGAGUCGUAAACUCCUUGUAUCAGGAAAGCGGUACCUGAUGAAUAAGCACCGGCUAACUCCGUGCCAGCAGCCGCGGUAAUUC
rnacentral:rRNA from 1 species